rnacentral:misc_RNA from 1 species
CAACUUCCCAACGGUUCAACUCUCAGCUUCGCCACCGUCACUCCCCCCCCCCAAGAGAAAAGCAUGUCCUCCGAGCGCACCUUUAUUGCCGUCAAGCCGGACGGCGUGCAGCGCGGCCUCGUUGGCGAGAUCAUCGCCCGCUUCGAGCGCAAGGGCUACAAGCUCGUCGCCUUGAAGAUACUGCAGCCGACAACGGAGCAGGCCCAGGGUCACUAUAAGGACCUUUCCUCCAAGCCGUUCUUCCCGGCCCUUGUGAAGUACUUCUCCUCUGGCCCGAUCGUGUGUAUGGUGUGGGAGGGUAAGAACGUGGUGAAGAGCGGCCGCGUGCUGCUCGGCGCGACGAACCCGGCGGACUCACAGCCUGGCACGAUCCGCGGCGACUUUGCCGUGGAUGUGGGCCGCAACGUGUGCCACGGCUCCGACUCCGUGGAGAGCGCGGAGCGCGAGAUCGCCUUUUGGUUCAAGGCGGAUGAGAUCGCGAGCUGGACGUCGCACUCCGUGUCCCAGAUCUACGAGUAACGGUGAUUGCGGUUACGCUUUGAGGAUGUAGCUGUACCCCCAAUGAAUUCUUCCCUGAAAACCACAUCAUAAGCCUCUUAAUAGGUUAUUUUUCUUGAUCGAUGCCUGGUGGUGACCAGCACCAUUCCUUUAUCGGAUUCACUCACACUCCUAGUGAAUCAUGUAAUGCGGUGAGAGUGGGUUCUGGAGGAGACCGUCGUGCAGCCAUGGCUUCAGGAGAGAAAACAAAAUACAAGGAAAGGCAAUAUGUAACUGUGAGGCUUCCUUUUUUUACUAUGCAAAGUUUUUAUAACUCCUGAUCGGCG